CUUACAUGUUACACCCAGGCGGGAGGAAGCUCACAGCCUUCGGUUGCCCCAAGUAAACCAUAUCAUUCUCACAAGAGAUGGCGAGCCUCUUGUAGAGCUGGGGACUUGGGCCAGACAUCUCUCGGUCCAGCUCUUCCCCUACCAGAACUGAAAACAUCCAUGGAAGAAGAUUUUAAUGUUACAGUUUAUUGCUGGGGAUAUAAUCAAUCAAUAAAAGAGAAGCCAUUCAAUACCUUGUAAGUCAAUUCAUUUCCAUGCUUA
rnacentral:lncRNA from 1 species